rnacentral:rRNA from 1 species
AGUGAACGCUGGCGGUAGGCCUAACACAUGCAAGUCGAACGGCAGCACAGUAAGAGCUUGCUCUUACGGGUGGCGAGUGGCGGACGGGUGAGGAAUACAUCGGAAUCUACUUUUUCGUGGGGGAUAACGUAGGGACACUUACGCUAAUACCGCAUACGACCUACGGGUGAAAGCAGGGGAUCUUCGGACCUUGCGCGAUUGAAUGAGCCGAUGUCGGAUUAGCUAGUUGGCGGGGUAAAGGCCCACCAAGGCGACGAUCCGUAGCUGGUCUGAGAGGAUGAUCAGCCACACUGGAACUGAGACACGGUCCAGACUCCUACGGGAGGCAGCAGUGGGGAAUAUUGGACAAUGGGCGAAAGCCUGAUCCAGCCAUACCGCGUGGGUGAAGAAGGCCUUCGGGUUGUAAAGCCCUUUUGUUGGGAAAGAAAAGCAGCAGGUUAAUACCCCGCUGUUCUGACGGUACCCAAAGAAUAAGCACCGGCUAACUUCGUG